rnacentral:piRNA from 1 species
AUUGGUAGUUGGCAGAAGCUAGAGA